ACAACACACGUCUUUCACUUCCGCUUCUUUUCUCUUGAGAAUUUUAAUUAGUGUUUCUUUUGCAGUGCUCUGAUUAAAGUGUUUUCGAUUCAGAUCCACCAUUGCAGCCAACGAUGAGUUCUCCGACUAGUUGCCGGUGAAUUGGGUAUAUGGUUGAUCACAAACUUUAUUGAUGCUUUCAGACUGCACAUACUCCAUGGCUUUCACCAAAGGUUUUGGCGUCUACGGGUUCGUUUUGGUGAGGAUUCUGAAUAAAGGAAUUUUCUUUUAAGUUCUUUCGGAGAAGCGUCUCUGUCUCUCUGUGUUCUGUGAAUGUGAAUUGGAAUGCUUAUUGUGCUGAAACCAAA